rnacentral:misc_RNA from 1 species
UAUCGGGCCACUGGGCUCGGGGAUUGGCGCUAGCUGAUCCGUGUCGACACCUGAGCCUGGAAUGCGAGCGAGGCGGCGCGGGUCGAUCCCGAUCGUCUCAAGAGCGGCUUUGUCAUCCGGAUUCUGGACCAGAAAGACCGCGUGAUCCCGAUUGAGCAGGAACCGCAACGCGAUCGCGAUAACGACGCGAAGGAGAAGCGCCCUGGCUGUCGUCGAGGUAAACGCAUAGCCGAGGCCCGUCAUCGCAU